rnacentral:rRNA from 1 species
GACGAACGCUGGCGGCGUGCUUAACACAUGCAAGUCGAACGGAAAGGCCCUGCUUUUGUGGGGUGCUCGAGUGGCGAACGGGUGAGUAACACGUGAGUAACCUGCCCUUGACUUUGGGAUAACUUCAGGAAACUGGGGCUAAUACCGGAUAGGAGCUCCUGCUGCAUGGUGGGGGUUGGAAAGUUUCGGCGGUUGGGGAUGGACUCGCGGCUUAUCAGCUUGUUGGUGGGGUAGUGGCUUACCAAGGCUUUGACGGGUAGCCGGCCUGAGAGGGUGACCGGCCACAUUGGGACUGAGAUACGGCCCAGACUCCUACGGGAGGCAGCAGUGGGGAAUAUUGCACAAUGGGCGGAAGCCUGAUGCAGCAACGCCGCGUGCGGGAUGACGGCCUUCGGGUUGUAAACCGCUUUCGCCUGUGACGAAGCGUGAGUGACGGUAAUGGGUAAAGAAGCACCGGCUAACUACGUGCCAGCAGCCGCGGUGAUACGUAGGGUGCGAGCGUUGUCCGGAUUUAUUGGGCGUAAAGGGCUCGUAGGUGGUUGAUCGCGUCGGAAGUGUAAUCUUGGGGCUUAACCCUGAGCGUGCUUUCGAUACGGGUUGACUUGAGGAAGGUAGGGGAGAAUGGAAUUCCUGGUGGAGCGGUGGAAUGCGCAGAUAUCAGGAGGAACACCAGUGGCGAAGGCGGUUCUCUGGGCCUUUCCUGACGCUGAGGAGCGAAAGCGUGGGGAGCGAACAGGCUUAGAUACCCUGGUAGUCCACGCUGUAAACGGUGGGUACUAGGUGUGGGGUCCAUUCCACGGGUUCCGUGCCGUAGCUAACGCUUUAAGUACCCCGCCUGGGGAGUACGGCCGUAAGGCUAAAACUCAAAGGAAUUGACGGGGCCCCGCACAAGCGGCGGAGCAUGCGGAUUAAUUCGAUGCAACGCGUAGAACCUUACCUGGGUUUGACAUGGAUCGGGAGUGCUCAGAGAUGGGUGUGCCUCUUUUGGGGUCGGUUCACAGGUGGUGCAUGGCUGUCGUCAGCUCGUGUCGUGAGAUGUUGUGUUAAGUCCCGCAACGAGCGCAACCCUUGUUCACUGUUGCCAGCACGUUAUGGUGGGGACUCAGUGGAGACCGCCGGGGUCAACUCGGAGGAAGGUGGGGAUGACGUCAAGUCAUCAUGCCCCUUAUGUCCAGGGCUUCACGCAUGCUACAAUGGCUGGUACAGAGAGUGGCGAGCCUGUGAGGGUGAGCGAAUCUCGGAAAGCCGGUCUCAGUUCGGAUUGGGGUCUGCAACUCGACCUCAUGAAGUCGGAGUCGCUAGUAAUCGCAGAUCAGCAACGCUGCGGUGAAUACGUUCCCGGG